rnacentral:rRNA from 1 species
AUUGAACGCUGGCGGCAUGCUUUACACAUGCAAGUCGGACGGCAGCGGGGUAGUGCUUGCACUACUGCCGGCGAGUGGCGAACGGGUGAGUAAUAUAUUGGAACGUACCGAGUAAUGGGGGAUAACCAAUCGAAAGAUUGGCUAAUACCGCGUACGCUCUGAGGAGGAAAGCAGGGGACCUUCGGGCCUUGCGUUAUUCGAGCGGCCAAUAUCUGAUUAGCUAGUUGGUGGGGUAAGGGCCUACCAAGGCGACGAUCAGUAGCGGGUCUGAGAGGAUGAUCCGCCACACUGGGACUGAGACACGGCCCAGACUCCUACGGGAGGCAGCAGUGGGGAAUUUUGGACAAAGGGCGCAAGCCUGAUCCAGCCAUGCCGCGUGUCUGAAGAAGGCCUUCGGGUUGUAAAGGACUUUUGUUAGGGAAGAAAAAGGAGCGGUUAAUACCCGUUUCUGCUGACGGUACCUAAAGAAUAAGCACCGGCUAACUACGUG